AUGUUGGGUGGCAGGAUUUUGAUUUGUCAUUUAAUAUCUCAACAACAACUUGUAAUCAUAUAGCGACUUCAAUGCAGAGUAGCAUCUCGGAGCGCUUAACAGUGCUGGAGCUUGACACAAAACCAGGGAGAGGGGGAGGUGACCUUAGGCAAGUCGAUGAGGAAAGUCUUCAGAUGUGGAUAUGUGAACGUCUUCCACUAUCUCCUGUUCAUUAUUUUUCAAGUCAUUUUAAAUCCCUUAGGCCAGUAGUGCCUCAUGGGGCCAUCAAGAAGUAGCUUGGCGAACAUUCGCCCUAGUCUAGGUCCAACUCAAGGCUUUCCUCUUUGAACACAUCUUCAGUCAUCUUCUCCCUCCACCCCCAUCCCACCUCCAACCCCCUGCUGGAGUGCAAAUCUUUGACUGUCCUGGUGACAUCCUCCUGACGUGAAAAGUGCUAUAUAAUUUUUUUUAAAUUGCUGUUAUUGAUUAAGAUAAAUUCUAUAAUCAUCAGUAGGUGGACCAGGAGCCAAUGGCCACCUUCAACAGUGGGCAGCCUUCUGUCCAACAUGCAGGGUGCUGUAGGCAAGUUCUCUAGCCAGCAUGGAGGAAGCUUUUGUGUACAUCAUUGCAUUCUUGACCGAGAGCUGCUUAAUUCUUUCUUAAUUACAAUGCAAUACAAUUUUCCAUUUCUAUUUAUUUACAUUUUACAUUUGCAAGCCGCAACUUGAAGCUGGCCAAGAAACAAAACUGAUUCAAAUAACUCCUGCUCAUGAUUACCACCUCUUCUCGCAAGUUAUAACCUGCAUCACAGUUCAACAACUUGAAAAACUAUUUGCACAUUGCCAUGACUAUGGUAGAGAGAUUGCAAUGCUUAAAAGAUCAUCCUCACUUGUUUGUGAAGAAAAAUAAACUUCACCUUUCAAGAACCGCUGGAGAUUUCCAAGUGCAUUAUUGUGUGAGACUAAAAUGAUUGGACAAGGAUGGCAUUAUCUCAAUUUCUAAAUAUUUGUAAUGAUUUACAAAUAUUUACAAAUAUGGUGGGUGUGUCGGUGACUCAAGAUCACAGAUUUAAAAUAGUUUCUAAAAGAAGCAGAGGGGAGGUGAGAAGAACUUUUUUCACGCAGUAAGUUGUUCGAAUCUGGAACGCAUUACCUGAAAGGGUGGUGGAGGCCGAUUUGAUAACAACUUUUAAAAACGCAGUGGAUCGGUAUUUGAGGAGGACGGGUGUGCAGGGCUAUUGGGAAAAGGCUGGGGGUGUGGGAUUGACAUUACAUUGCUCUUUUCAAAGAGCCGGCACAAACUCGAUGGGCCGAAUGGCCUCUUUUUGUGCUGUACAAUUCUAUGAUUCUAUGAUUUUUGUGGCAAGUUUAUAUAGAUAUAUAUGUGUACAUCUGUUCAUCUGUAUACACUUGGCUGUGUUUUGUUAGUGACUUAUGCAUGUUGAGCAUAAUGAAAAUCAUGACAUUAAUUACUCUACUUUUAUGUAGCCAACAAUAUAUUAUCUUUGCUGCAAUCUCUCUAGGUAAAUGUCCUUUUGAUAUAUACCGUAUGUGGAAUUUAGGCAUGCCAGUUCUCUAGACCUAUUAAUCAAAAAUAAAUCUACACUUUUCAUGAAUGAAAUUUAUCAAAUUGUUAUGUCUUUAACAAGUAAUCAUGUUCUACA